AGCCCUGUGGAGAUCUGGGGAUGAAAGACGCAACGAGAGCGAACACCCAGUACCUCUUCCCGCCGUUAACCUGUUUAAAUCUUUCAGCCACUGACCAGCGGUCACCUUCCCUCCCAAGUUGACACCAACAGGUGCUGUUUUGGAUUUUGGCAAUAUGCAAGUGGUCAGGUUUAUAAGAAAAGUGAGAGAGCGUGAUCUUCAGUGUGUGCUGCACAAGCAGUGGUGUGGACCCAGAGUUCAGGCAUAGGCGAAGGACGGACACGGAUUUCACAUUCCUGAUAGGAACAUGGACUUGGAGGUUGCUCGUGAAUCCCAGGACCUCCACCGCAUCUACAGGCAAGAGGGGCAUCCCCACCACCAGCUCUACCAGCACCACCUCUAACUGCAGGAAUUGCUCCUCCAAGUCCUUGGCCUCUACUAAAUGGUAUCCACUGCCUUUGCCUUUGUUGGGGGAUCGGUGAUCCAUAAUCACACCACCCGCUCUGAAUUAUGAAAUGGAAGUACAAAUAAAUGUAUAAACCUGCA